CUACGGGCGGCUGCAGUGAGGAAUAUUGCACAAUGGGGGGAACCCUGAUGCGGCAACGCCGCGUGGAGGAUGACGCAUUUCGGUGUGUAAACUCCUUUUAUAUGUCAAGAAAAUGACGGUAGCAUAUGAAUAAGCACCGGCUAACUCCGUGCCAGCAGCCGCGGUAAUACGGGAGGGUGCAAGCGUUACUCGGAAUCACUGGGCGUAAAGGACGCGUAGGCGGGUUGGAAAGUCAGGUGUGAAAUCCUACAGCUUAACUGUAGAACUGCACUUGAAACUUCUAAUCUAGAGUAUGGGAGGGGGAGAUGGAAUUAGUGGUGUAGGGGUAAAAUCCGUAGAUAUCACUAGGAAUACCUAAAGCGAAGGCGAUCUCCUGGAACAUUACUGACGCUAAGGCGUGAAAGCGUGGGGAGCAAACAGGAUUAGAUACCCGCGUAGUC
rnacentral:rRNA from 1 species